UGGGGAAUCUUCCGCAAUGGACGAAAGUCUGACGGAGCAACGCCGCGUGAGUGAAGAAGGUUUUCGGAUCGUAAAACUCUGUCUUUUGGGGCGAACGUGAGUAUGGUGAACAAUCAUAGUCAGUGACGGUACCAAAGGAGGAAGCCACGGCUAACUACGUGCCAGCAGCCGCGGUAAUCGUAGGUGGCAAGCGUUGUCCGGAAUUAUUGGGCGUAAAGAGCGCGUAGGCGGGAUAGUCAGUCUGUUGUAAAGUGCGGGGCUCAACCCCGUGAUCGCAAUGGAAACAGCCAUUCUUGAGUGCAGGAGAGGAAAGUGGAAUUCCCAGUGUAGCGGUGAAAUGCGUAGAUAUUGGGAGGAACACCAGUGGCGAAGGCGACUUUCUGGACUGUGUCUGACGCUGAGGCGCGAAAGCCAGGGGGAGCGAACGGGGAUUUAGAUACCCCCGGUAGU
rnacentral:rRNA from 1 species